GCAGUCGAACGAACUUCCGUUAAUUGAUUAUGAGGUGCUUGCACUGAAUGAGAUUUUAACAUGAAGUGAGUGGCGGACGGGUGAGUAACACGUGGGUAACCUGCCCAGAAGCAGGGGAUAACACCUGGAAACAGAUGCUAAUACCGUAUAACAGAGAAAACCGCCUGGUUUUCUUUUAAAAGAUGGCUCUGCUAUCACUUCUGGAUGGACCCGCGGCGCAUUAGCUAGUUGGUGAGGUAACGGCUCACCAAGGCGAUGAUGCGUAGCCGACCUGAGAGGGUAAUCGGCCACAUUGGGACUGAGACACGGCCCAGACUCCUACGGGAGGCAGCAGUAGGGAAUCUUCCACAAUGGACGCAAGUCUGAUGGAGCAACGCCGCGUGAGUGAAGAAGGGUUUCGGCUCGUAAAGCUCUGUUGUUAAAGAAGAACGUGGGUGAGAGUAACUGUUCACCCAGUGACGGUAUUUAACCAGAAAGCCACGGCUAACUACGUGCCAGCAGCCGCGGUAAUACGUAGGUGGCAAGCGUUAUCCGGAUUUAUUGGGCGUAAAGCGAGCGCAGGCGGUCUUUUAAGUCUAAUGUGAAAGCCUUCGGCUCAACCGAAGAAGUGCAUUGGAAACUGGGAGACUUGAGUGCAGAAGAGGACAGUGGAACUCCAUGUGUAGCGGUGAAAUGCGUAGAUAUAUGGAAGAACACCAGUGGCGAAGGCGGCUGUCUGGUCUGUAACUGACGCUGAGGCUCGAAAGCAUGGGUAGCGAACAGGAUUAGAUACCCUGGUAGUCCAUGCCGUAAACGAUGAUUACUAAGUGUUGGAGGGUUUCCGCCCUUCAGUGCUGCAGCUAACGCAUUAAGUAAUCCGCCUGGGGAGUACGACCGCAAGGUUGAAACUCAAAAGAAUUGACGGGGGCCCGC
rnacentral:rRNA from 1 species